GCUCGCUCCAGCAGCACAUACUAAAAUUGGAAUGAUACAGAGAAGAUUACCACAGCCCCUGCGCAAGGAUGACACACAAAUUUGUGAAGCGUUCCAUAUUUUU
ensembl:snRNA U6 U6 spliceosomal RNA